CUCAACUGGGAGAGGCCGUUCGAAACUCUUUGGCUAGAGGACGGUAGAGGCGAGUGGAAUUCCCGGUGUAGUGGUGAAAUGCGUAGAUAUCGGGAGGAACACCAGAGGCGAAAGCGGCUCGCUGGGCCGAUUCUGACGCUGAGACGCGAAAGCUAGGGGAGAGAACGGGAUUAGAAACCCCGGUAUUCCUAGCCGUAAACGAUGUCAACUAGGUGUAGGGGGUGUAGAAGCCUUCUGCGCUGCCGCCAACGCAGUAAGUUGACCGCCUGGGGAGUACGGCCGCAAGGCUAAAACUCAAAGGAAUUGACGGGGCCCGCACAAGCAGCGGAGCGUGUGGUUUAAUUCGAGGCAACGCGAAGAACCUUACCAGGGUUUGACAUGCUGGUGGUAGGGAGGUGAAAGCCGACUGACCCUUCGGGGAGCC
rnacentral:rRNA from 1 species